rnacentral:rRNA from 1 species
GAUGAACGCUGGCGGCGUGCUUAACACAUGCAAGUCGAACGGUGAAGGCGGAGCUUGCUCUGCUGGAUCAGUGGCGAACGGGUGAGUAACACGUGAGCAAUCUGCCCCUGACUCUGGGAUAAGCGCUGGAAACGGCGUCUAAUACUGGAUACGAGCUGCGAAGGCAUCUUCAGCAGCUGGAAAGAACUUCGGUCAGGGAUGAGCUCGCGGCCUAUCAGCUUGUUGGUGAGGUAACGGCUCACCAAGGCGUCGACGGGUAGCCGGCCUGUGAGGGUGACCGGCCACACUGGGACUGAGACACGGCCCAGACUCCUACGGGAGGCAGCAGUGGGGAAUAUUGCACAAUGGGCGAAAGCCUGAUGCAGCAACGCCGCGUGAGGGACGACGGCCUUCGGGUUGUAAACCUCUUUUAGCAGGGAAGAAGCGAAAGUGACGGUACCUGCAGAAAAAGCGCCGGCUAACUACGUG